rnacentral:rRNA from 1 species
UACGAAGGGGGCUAGCGUUGCUCGGAAUCACUGGGCGUAAAGGGUGCGUAGGCGGGUCUUUAAGUCAGAGGUGAAAUCCUGGAGCUCAACUCCAGAACUGCCUUUGAUACUGAAGAUCUUGAGUUCGGGAGAGGUGAGUGGAACUGCGAGUGUAGAGGUGAAAUUCGUAGAUAUUCGCAAGAACACCAGUGGCGAAGGCGGCUCACUGGCCCGAUACUGACGCUGAGGCAC